UGGGGAAUAUUGCACAAUGGGCGCAAGCCUGAUGCAGCGACGCCGCGUGAGGGAUGACGGCCUUCGGGUUGUAAACCUCUUUCAGCAGGGACGAAGCGCAAGUGACGGUACCUGCAGAAGAAGCACCGGCUAACUACGUGCCAGCAGCCGCGGUAAUACGUAGGGUGCGAGCGUUGUCCGGAAUUACUGGGCGUAAAGAGUUCGUAGGCGGUUUGUCACGUCGUGUGUGAAAUCCCACAGCUUAACUGUGGGCUUGCAGGCGAUACGGGCAGACUUGAGUACUGCAGGGGAGACUGGAAUUCCUGGUGUAGCGGUGAAAUGCGCAGAUAUCAGGAGGAACACCGGUGGCGAAGGCGGGUCUCUGGGCAGUAACUGACGCUGAGGAACGAAAGCGUGGGGAGCGAACAGG
rnacentral:rRNA from 2 species